rnacentral:rRNA from 1 species
GAUGAACGCUGGCGGCGUGCCUAAUACAUGCAAGUCGAGCGAACAGACGAGGAGCUUGCUCCUCUGACGUUAGCGGCGGACGGGUGAGUAACACGUGGAUAACCUACCUAUAAGACUGGGAUAACUUCGGGAAACCGGAGCUAAUACCGGAUAAUAUAUUGAACCGCAUGGUUCAAUAGUGAAAGACGGUUUUGCUGUCACUUAUAGAUGGAUCCGCGCCGCAUUAGCUAGUUGGUAAGGUAACGGCUUACCAAGGCGACGAUGCGUAGCCGACCUGAGAGGGUGAUCGGCCACACUGGAACUGAGCAACGGUCCAGACUCCUACGGGAGGCAGCAGUAGGGAAUCUUCCGAAAUGGGCGAAAGCCUGACGGAGCAACGCCGCGUGAGUGAUGAAGGUCUUCGGAUCGUAAAACUCUGUUAUUAGGGAAGAACAAAUGUGUAAGUAACUAUGCACGUCUUGACGGUACCUAAUCAGAAAGCCACGGCUAACUACGUG